UUAAGAUGGAGCAGGAAGAAUACAGCAAGGAAAAAUUUACCGGAGCAACAUUGAGUUCAUUGACAAAUAAAAUGUCUUAGAUUUGACUGAAAAGAAACCAAAAUAAAUCAAUUACUUUAUUUGCUGGACAUCAAUGAUUAUGUGCCAGUUCUUGUUCUAAAGUAGGCAACAUAUAUGUGCAUCCGGGUUGGAUAGUUUUUCUGAUGGCAGGAGCGAACAAUUUAAUUGUUGGAUGUCUUCCGAAUCUCCAAGCAUCAAUCUCGCGUCACGUUGUUCAACCUGUUUCCGCUCUCUCAUCAUCCUACUGUAAGAUUCUGGUUAAGAAGGAUUCAAAGAGGUAGUUGUUUAUGAAGCUUAGUAAUGUUAGUGAUGGAUCAUUACAUCAUGUCCGUUCUGCCAAGUGCAGAAAAAGAACUAGGUUUGCUACUAAUGAAUCCCUGCUUUAAUACCUUGUUCGGGAUAAAAUUUCACGUGCAAGUUCAUAUUGUUGUAGAAGUUUUAAGGAUGACUGAUUGUCUUAUCCAAUAAGGGUAAUAAUAUAUU